UGGGGAAUAUUGCACAAUGGGGGAAACCCUGAUGCAGCAACGCCGCGUGAGUGAUGACGGUCUUCGGAUUGUAAAGCUCUGUCUUCAGGGACGAUAAUGACGGUACCUGAGGAGGAAGCCACGGCUAACUACGUGCCAGCAGCCGCGGUAAUACGUAGGUGGCAAGCGUUGUCCGGAUUUACUGGGCGGAAAGGGAGCGUAGGCGGAUAUUUAAGUGGGAUGUGAAAUACUCGGGCUUAACCUGGGUGCUGCAUUCCAAACUGGAUAUCUAGAGUGCAGGAGAGGAAAGUAGAAUUCCUAGUGUAGCGGUGAAAUGCGUAGAGAUUAGGAAGAAUACCAGUGGCGAAGGCGACUUUCUGGACUGUAACUGACACUGAGGCUCGAAAGCGUGGGGAGCA
rnacentral:rRNA from 1 species